CGAGGAUUCCUCCAGUAACGGCGAGUGAACGGGGAAAAGCCCAGCGCUGAAUCCAUUGGCCACUGGUCGCUUGGAAUUGUAGCGUAUAGGUGCAGUUGUCCGUUCGUUUCGCGCACCCAAAGUCCCCUUGAGUGGGGCUAUAGUCCGAAGAAGGUGCUAGACCUGUACGGGUGGCGAGACGAUCGGUUGAUUGCUCCUUGGAGUCGGGUUGCCUGGGAUCGCAGCCCAAAGUUGGUGGUAGACUUCAUCUAAGGCUAAAUAUGGCCACGAAACCGAUAGCAAACAAGUACCGUGAGGGAAAGUUGCAAAGAACUUUGAAGAGAGAGUUCAAGAGGGCGUGAAACCGCUGAGAUUGAAACGGAUAGAGUUGACUGAACUCGGCUGCAUUCAUCCGGUCGGUCUAGCGGUCCGAUUGUUUUGACUUCCUCGAAGAGGGCGAAGCAGUCGGCAACUGUUGGGCAUUUGAUCGGUGUAUUUGCGGCUGGUAUGCGCUGAGAGCUUUGCGAUCGCGUGUUGACAAACGCGCAGUGGACCAUUCCUUCCGGGCGUGGAACCCUUCGCGCUUUGAGACAUGUCGGUUGUAGGGUUUCAAACAUGGCGUCUCCGCUAUGGUGCGUCAGCUUUUUCGAGCUGUUGUGGCUGCCGGGUGGUCGCGUGCGACUGUCUGCAGUCAUCGAUGGUUCGACAGGAGUGUGGACGCGUCGAGGCGUUGAUCUCGGUGUGAACGUCGACCACCUAUCCGA
rnacentral:rRNA from 1 species